ACAGGAGAGAGAGAUGAGUUAGGCAGGCACCUGUGUGGUCCUUAGUGGCCUGAAGAAGCAUCUGUGGCCCCAUGGUAUCCAUGUUCCCUCUACCUUCAUUCUAGUGCUGAACAUUUCCAUUCCCUUUGUUUACCCAGAAAAAGUAACUCAGGUUUGCAAGGGCCUGGCGACUGGGAGAACUGGUUGGAAGAGACCUGCCUCUCCCAGUGCGGACACAUCACAACCUCCUUGAGCGUUCUCUGCCUCCUCUGUAAAAGGACAAAACCGUACUGUGCCCUUGAGUGGGCGCACUUUGUGAGUAACCUGCCCCUGGCCAAGAAGCUGACGCUUUCUGCUUGCAGAGGCCCCCAAACGCCACACCUGAAUCCCAAUUGAAUCACUAAGAACAGGAGAAAAUGGCACCAGGAAGCAUGUUCAGAACGUUAGGACUGGAUACACAGAAUCAGGUGGAUGAGUACUACCUGUGUUCGAGCUCAGCUAUGCCCGCGGAGGAGCUUUCUCUUCCCACCUGCCCAUGAGGCACAGAAAAGUCAGAACAGUUUGCCUUCACAUGGGAAAGAUGGCAAUGGACUUUCACUGUCCUUCUACAAGGAUACCUUCACAGCCCCACCAUCAGUCAUGGACUUGUAGCCCAGGACUUGGCUACAUGGGAGAAACUGCCAACGGUGCAGCUGUACCAUUAUAUUGAUGAUGUCAUGUUCACAUCUGAU